rnacentral:rRNA from 1 species
AGAGUUUGAUCCUGGCUCAGGAUGAGCGCUGGCUGUGUGCCUAAUACAUGCAUGUUGAACGAAGCUAAAAGUGCUUGCACUUUAAGACUUAGUAGCGAAUGGGUGAGUAACACGUACUUAACCUACCCCCAAGUUUGGGAUAACGUUUGGAAACGAACGCUAAUACCGAAUACGUAUUUUUAUCGCAUGAUAGAAAUAUAAAAGGAGCUUCGGCUUCGCUAGGGGAUGGGAGUGCGCUACAUUAGUUAGUUGGUAGGGUAAUGGCCUACCAAGACUAUGAUGUAUAGCGGGGCCGAGAGGCUGAUCCGCCACACUGGGACUGAGAUACGGCCCAGACUCCUACGGGAGGCAGCAGUAGGGAAUUUUCCACAAUGAACGAAAGUUUGAUGGAGCGACACAGCGUGCAGGAUGAAGGUCUUCGGAUCGUAAACUGCUGUUAUAAGGGAAGAAAAACUUUAGUAGGUAAUGACUAGAACUUGACGGUACCUUAUCAGAAAGCGACGGCUAACUAUGUGCCAGCAGCCGCGGUAAU